rnacentral:rRNA from 1 species
UAAUACGAAUGGGGCAAGCGUUGUUCGGAAUCACUGGGCGUAAAGCGUGUGUAGGCGGUUAAUCAAGUCAGAAGUGAAAUCCCAGGGCUUAACCCUGGAAUUGCUUUUGAAACUGAUUGGCUAGAGUACUGGAGAGGUUAGCAGAAUUCCGAGUGUAGAGGUGAAAUUCGCAGAUAUUCGGAGGAAUACCAGUGGCGUAAGCGGCUAACUGGACAGUAACUGACGCUGAGACACGAAAGCGUGGGGAUCAAACAGGAUUAGAUACCCUGGUAGUCCACGCUGUAAACGAUGUAUGUUAGUUGUCGGGAGGUUUACCUUUCGGCGACAAAGCUAACGCAUUAAACAUACCGCCUGGGGAGUACGGUCGCAAGAUUA